UCAAGAUCCCAGACAACUUGUCUUAUCUCAACUAUAAAAGAUUAACCAAAUCGAGUGCAAUUGUUCUGGAACAAGAUAACACUCUCAACAGACUCUGGGUCGGCAGAGGCAGUGUCAGGCUCUAUUCUGAAAAUGCAACUCAGCACUUAGCCGAGGCUGACAAUUGAUAUUCUGCUCUAGCCUAUGGAUAAUUCCACAGAGAACUCUUUCAAAAUGGCUGCCAUCACCUAUUGCUUUUAAGGUCACUGGUGCACUCAUCUUUCAAAAUGGCCACCACCUCUCACUACUCCCAGUGAGAAUGAAGCCAAGCUGGCCUCAAGAAAAGUAAUGAUUCAUGACAUCACACGUUCUGAGAACUGUCAGCUCCCACUGAAGUCCCAUUCAUGGGCUCACUGCCUCUUCUGCUGGUUUUCCAAUCUCUGCUCUGGAGCACACCAUGUCCCCUAUUUGACUCUUCUGAUGUACCUCAGGAACAGCCAGUCAGCACAGAACUUCAGUACACAGGAAAUAAAAGAUCUCCAUGCCCCUCAAGAUUGGCCUGUUAAUGACUGAAAGGUCGGAAGAUAAAUGACAAUAAUUUAAAGAAGUGGUGUCCAAGGGCCAAUUGAUCUCCUGGACAGCUCUUCAAGCCGCCCUCGAUGUGGUGGAUGCAGCGGCCAGACCCACAGCCACGGCCAUCGUCAUGCGGCAAGCCUCAUGGUUUGCUUCUUCCUCCUUUCCCAAGGAGAUACAGAACACUGUUGAAGAUCUCCCCUUCGUGGGGACAAGCUCUUCGUCUCUACAACCAAUGAGGUCCUUCACUCCAUGAAGGACUCGCGUCCCACACUCUGAUCCUUAGGCAUCCAAACACCUGUCACAAAGAGCAGACAAUAUACAUAUCAGCCAUACCAAUGACCGUGUUACCAUCCCUUUGUGCAACAUCCACCUUUAAGGCAAUGUGAUAUGCAACAACAACAAUGACAUAGACCCAGGAACCAAUGACGUCACCCUCCGCAAACAACGGCGACCCACCCUCCUAAUCCAAAUAAACAAAUUUGAAGUCUUGGUUGAGGGUAUAGAAAACCUCACACCGUCUCCAGCACCAACUCCAACCACCCAUUUCUUUGGACACCGUUUGCAUCCGUUCCUUGCCAGCUGGGAAACCAUCACUAUGGACAGAUGGGUUCUGGAAAUAAUCAGAUCAGGUUAUGCCAUCCUUUUCCUCUCCUUGUCACCCUCCCACCCCAUCCCUCUUCAGGGACCCCUCGCACGAACAAUUGCUCCGUCAGGAGUUGCAACACCUCAUGCAUCUCAGAGCAAUAGAGAAGGUACCCCCUCAACACAGAGGGAAAGGGUUUUACUCCCACUAUUUCUUGAUGGAAAAGAAAAAUGGUGGAUGGUGCCCUAUCCUCGAUCUUUGAUGUUUGAACAAGUUUGUCAAGAAACAGACAUUCCGGAUGGUUACUCUCCCACUGACAAUUCCAACGCUGGAGCAAGGAGAUUUGGUUUUCAACCCUCAGCUUCCAAGACGCAUAUUUCAAUGUUUCUAUCCACCCUGCCCUUCGAUGUUUCCUCAGAUUUGCCAUGGGAGUGCAACACGACCAAUACAGAGUCCUCCCAUUUGGCCUCUCCACAGCACCACAUGUCUUCUCAAAGGUGCUAGCAGUUGUAAUAGCACAUCUCAGAAAAAAAGGGAUAGUCAUUUUUCUUUAUCUGGACAAUUGUCUCCUCAAGUCCCCCACUCAAUUAGAAGUGAACCAUGCACCUUUUACAACCCUUCACUGCUUCUGCACCUUGGGUCUGCAAAUAAACAAAAGAAAAUCUACCUUACAACCUACCCAAUAAAUUGACUUCAUCAGCACCCAUCUCGAUUACACCACCGGUCUUGCAUCUCUUCCCCAGGACAGAUUCCACACAAUGGGCACUCUUAUUACCCAGAUACAUUCUAGUCCACAGACUUCAGUCCGAGACUCCCUGCAGCUCUUAGGACAUCUGGCCGCUUGCACAUUUGUGGUUGCAAAUGCUCACAUGUACAUGCGAUGCCUCCAGGGUUGGCUAGUCAGUAUACAAGCCAAACACGCACAGACCUCUCCCAUCAACCUCUGUAUUGGGAUUCCCUUCCAACAAGAUCCCCUUCAAUUACCAUCACUACAGAUGCAUCUCUCACAGGAUGGGGUGCACACAUGGGCCACCUCACCACUCAGGGCCUCUGGUCUACUUCGGAAACCAAGCUUCACAUAAAUUUGCUAGAGCUCAGGGCCGUAUGCAAUGCCUGCCUCCAUUUCCUUCCCAUCAUCCAAAACCACCGAAUUUGAAUCAUGACCGACCACAUCAUGUGCAUGUUUUAUGUCAGCAGACUGGGGGAGCCCGGUCCCACUCCCUCCGCACAGAGGCGGUAAAACUUUGGAACUGGUGCCUUCAACACAAUAUCUAUCUCUCCACAUCAUAACUGCCAGAUUCUCAGAACACCACUGCAGAUGAGCUCAGCCAGUCGUUUCUGAAUGUUGGCCAUUCUUUCCAACAUUUUCCAGAUCUGGGGUUAUCCCCAACUGGAUCAAUUUGCCACAGCAACAAACAAAAAAGUGUCAUUAUUUGGCUGGAGUCUGUUUUCCUCUACACUCUGUUAAAGUUGAACUGUAAAGAAUUUUUAAAGAAUUGGAUCUGAGCCUUUCUAUGCUUAUUUAUUUUGUAUUAUGGUGGCACCUUGAAGUUCCAACUUAGAUAUGGGUCCCAUAGUACACCUACAUAGUAAAAUACUCUCUGCUCUGUGGAGCUGACAAUCUAAGUAAAUGGUACAGACAUAUGGUAGUUGGGGAAACAGACGCACAGAGAGGUGUGACCCUGGGCAAGUCCCUUCACAGUAGGCCAGCGGCAGAGCCAGGAAUAGAAGCUAGAAUUCCUGAUUCCUAGUGCAGUGCUCUAUCCACUAGAGUUCUCUGCCUCUCUGAUUUCUAAAGAAAGGUAACAAAAGCUGUUUUAAAAAAAAAAUUACUGCUUAGUUCUACCUUUUAGAAAUAUCAGGAAUGUGAAGUCUGGUCUUCCCUGGUUUUGUGGGAGGGCUCUUCUGAGGAUCAAGGAAUAUUUAUUGUGAGCUCUAAUACCUUAUUUGAAGGGAUGAAGGUGUUGAAUCUUUAACAAAGUCUUUCUUAUCCCAGAUAUUAAUUAGUUAUUGAAGUUCUACUGAUGUUAACAAAAACUAGCAUGAAGAGCUUGAAACAGUUUGAGUAACACCCCUUUCUUUCUCAAUUGCUCAAUUUUCACGCUCUUGUCUUCUGUGACAUCAGGCUAGGCAGAGAAAAUAUUUAAGUCACAAAUGGGUUGAGACUCAUCAUACUCUGCUAAACUCUUAGCAGAUGACAAUGAAGCAUGAACAGUGUGAUUUUCCCCCCCCCCCAUUGUUUUUAACUUCUAUAUUUUCUCCACCUCAGUGAAGAGACUAGUUCUCAAGGGGAAAUGUCACUGACAAGUGUCAGAUGUCUAACUUAAUCCAUUUUUGCUGUAGCUGUGUUCAAAACAUUUGGUGAGAAUUUUUUCAUAAGAGGAAAACUAUUAUUUUUUAUUUUCACACUCACUGAAACCAAACAGAAGAGAUUUUGCUCAAACUUAAAAUCACCUUCAAAGUUCAUAAAUGGAAAAUUUCAGCACAAAGGUGUAUGUUGUGGAAAGACUUGAAUGAAUUAAAACAAGAAGUCAUAAUGGAAACUCUUCUGCAACUUCAUAGUGUUCACUGCAGGCUAUGGCUAUAAUGCAUUGUAUUUAUUUAGAGCUUUGUAGUUUUCCCCUAUUAGGGAAAAUAUCAGGAAGACAGAACUUGCAAUGGUAACUCUGAAUGUCAAACUGUUUUGAAGUGGCUGGCUGAUGGAGGGUGAACAAAGGUUAAUGUAUAUAGGAGAACUCCUUGAUUUGCACCUUUCCAUUUUCUAAAAGCUAUUGCCAAAAAUGAUAUAUUGCCCUAUAGGCUGUGUUCUUUUGUAGCCAUAGUGACUGUUUACAGUUGUUUUUUUGUGUUGGGUUAGUGGAUGAAGGACAGGUAGAAUAAGGGAUGGACUUAGCUACUUUUGCAUUUUGUGGAAACGUAGGGCUCGUCUUCAGUACUGGGGAGAUUGAUGCUGCUGCAAUUCAUGCAGCAGGUGUCGAUUUAGUGGGUCUAGUGAAGACCUGCUAAAUCGAUGGCAGAGCACUCUCCGGUCGACUCUAGUACUCUAGCUCACCGAGAAGAGUAAGGUAAGUCAACCGGAGAGUGUCUUCUGUCAACGCAGCACAGUGAAGACACAGCAGUAAGUCUACCUAAGCUACGUUGACUCCAGCUACAUUAUUCACGUAGGUGGAGUAGCGUAACUUAGGUCGACUUACUCCGGUAGUGAAGAUAAGCCCUUAGUGAAAACAUGGUGCAUUUUAUACUAGGGUUGACAAAAGGAAUAUUCUAUGUAAUAUAGAUAUAUAAGAAAGGAAUGUGCUUUCUGCUGGCUUCAUAAACAGAUGUUAGCUCACUUGUUCUCAGCCAGAAACUAUGAUAUUAGUGAUGAGAUUUCCUGGGGGAAAAAAACUUCCUUAGCAUUUGAGAAAAACAGCACACAGCUCAGAGUGUCCUCAGAAUCAGUUGGAUGAGGAUCGAUUUGGCCUGCCACAAAGGAAAAGUAGAUUCUUCACUGGCAACACCUGAAAGGAAAUGUGAGUGUUGACUACAGCAUUUACUACUGAAGCAAAUAGCAGUGGAGAACCUAGAGACAGGUUUUAUAAUAUGAGGAGAAAGCUGGAUGAGACUAGGAGGUAUAGACUGCAGAACACCUGGAUAUGAAAGGUGAUUUUUAGACGUGGUAGACAGUCUUCUUACUUAAUCUAUCUCUGUGUUGAAAGAAAUUUUAGCGAGAAGACAGUCUGCAAAAUAAAAUAUUUCUUCGGAACUGGAUAGAUAAAGCACAAAGCCAGGUCAAUAUUCCACAGCUAGUGAAGUGGAGGAAAUCAAUAUCACAUAUAUUCAAGAGUACGUUACACUCUGCUAUUCUGACUCCAUUAAGCAGACCACUAAUGAAGGACUACAGUACAAUCAGUAUCAGGAACAGGAUUUUAAUUCUGCCUCUUCAACACUGAUUUAAUAAUCCUUUGAUGACAAAGAGAUGAUGUGGCAUGAGAACAGGAUGGACUUUCACCUAUGCAGCCCAGUCUACCUGAGAUCCUAAAGCCAUUGGGCCAGAAGCUCAGCUGGUGUGAACUGAAGUCAGUAGAGCUAUGCUGAUUCACAAAUGAGCAUCUGGCUUAAUGGGUUUAGUGCUUUUUAGAUCAAUCCUAGAAAUCUGCUCAAAUGGGGAUGGAUCAUCCAUUGUAAAACACUGGUAGAAAAUGCGGAGAAUCUUGCCUUACAGUUGCUUUCCUUGUGCUUGGGAACAUGGGACAAUCUGGCAUCAAGUUUUGCUGUUUUCUGCAGACUUACUUUUCGAAAAGUGAUGUGUAACUGCUCCGUCAAAGGAAAAGUGUUAAUACAAAGAAGACUAAAUCUCUCUCUGUGUGCCUCAAAUAUAACUUAAAAGGAAUAUUUAACGAUCAUUAAAAAAGUCAUUAAAAAAGCUGCUGGCUUGACAGCCAGAUUAUCUACACAAGAAACCUAAUUCUCUACUGCCCUGCACCGUGUGCACAUAUUUACAGCUGUACUAAAUGAUUGUAAAUGCUUCACAGGGGUUCUCAAACUUCAUUGCACCAUGCCCCCCUUCUGAUAACAAAAAUUACUACAUGACCCUGAGGGAGGGCUGAAGCCUGAGCCUGCCAGAGCCCCGUCACCCUGGGAGGAGGAUGGGGAGGAGGGAUGGGCAGCAAAGCUGAAGCCUAAAGGCUUCAACUCUGGGCUUGGGGCCUGUAACCUGAGCCCUGUCACCCAGGCCUGAAACCCUCAGACUUCGGCUUUGGCCCCUGGCCAUGGGGCUUGGGCUUCUGCCCUGGAAUCCAGCAAGUCUAAUGCCUGCUGUGGUGCCCCCAUUAAAACGGGGUCAUGACCCACUUUGGGGUUCCGACCUGCAGUUUGAGAACUGCUGUGCUACUAAAUCAGAAUGGUGGCAUUUUUACACUCAGUUUCCAUUAGCAUUGCACAGAUGUAAAUGUCUAGGUACAAAAUGGUGGAGAAUCCUAGGCCAGAGAGAUGGAAGUUUGAGUGUGUGUGUGCGUGUCGGGGGGGACACUUCCAAGGUAAGCUUUGUUGUUGUUUUCUUAAAAAGAGAAUAUACAACAGCUGUGAAAAUCUCUUGUGUUUUAUGCUAUAACUCAUUCCCCUUUGCCCCAUCACGAGAACUGGCGCCUAGCUAUAACUGAGAAUCUGGCUCCUGUUGUCCAGGUUAGUUAGAUACAUGCUGCCACUGUCACACUGACCAGCAGCAGCAACUCUGGCAUGAUUCAUGACUUUCUCACACACCUUAGCUGAAUAUCAAGAUGUUUGAAAAAGCGAUCUGAAAAAUUCCACUUGCCUGUCCAGAAAAAAAAUUAUUUGCCCCAGGAGACCAGGCAAAUGGAAAACUGUAAGACUCAUUGAAAAAAAGCUGCAAAUGUUUAUUGCAGGCAGUAGUGUUCCUUACCCUGAGUAGUCCUAUUGAAGUGAAAGGGAUUUCUUAUGGUAAUAAGCUCAACAAUUAGCUGUGUUUGCAGACUAGGGACAUAUAAGAUUUCCUGCCAUAUGAAGGGCAGAGCUAUUUGGCAAGCCUGCACACUUCCUUAAAUAAAAACACUAUUGAAUAAUGUUGCAGCCAUGUGUUUGUUGUAAUCCAUCAGAUAAGUUAAAUAAAUCUGGAAGGGCAUAUGAUAAAAUGAAUAAGAGAAAUAAUGUUUAAACAAAUGAGUCCUGUGGUAUCAAUUGAAUAAAGAAGCAACAAAAGUGAUUAAUAGUUUGUUAUAAUGAAGUCACUGGCAUUUAAUAAGCUAUUGACUUUUUCACCAUCUUACUGAAAAUGUUUUAUAAUGUAGAAAAAUACACACAUAAUGCAAUAUUGAUUAAGGAUGAAUUUAUAAAUUUGGAUUCUAGAUUCUGUGUCUAGGGGCCAGAAAGCUGUUUCUUCAGGAGUAUUGAUUGUUCUGUAGCCAUCCAAAGAGAUAUUCAAGGUGUAGUUUUUGUUAGAAAAAUGGUUUAUUUAGAAUGACCCUAUAAGUCAAAGGGCCAAAUCCUAAUUGCUUUUCACAUGGGAUUUGGCCUAUUGACUUCACUAGGACUACUCAAAUGAGCAAGGCAAGAAGGAUUCAAUCCAAAAGAAAAAUAACUAGAUGGGACUGUAAGUGAGAGGAGUCUACAGCUGGGCUGAUUCAGCAGCUAGCUUUUUGUGUGUGUGUCCCUUCUGCUCUGCCAGAGCAGGGCAAAGAAUCUGGCCCAUUGUUCUGAUUCAUAACAUCCUGCUACAAUAAAAGAUCAGAUUCAGUUCCAGUGACUGUAUCAUUUAUUGCUGCAUUCACUUGUUUGACUUUAGCUGAAUACUAUUGCCAAGUAUUUGUUAAACACUAAAACAAGUCAUUUGGUUCACUCCCAGUAAUAAUACAUAUUUGUUUUAGAGAAGUACUUGCAAGACUUUAAUGGUUGUAAAGGGUUUUGAGAUGCUCAGAUGAAAGGCACUGAAUAAAUCCAAAGUAUUAGGAUAUAAACAAUAGUAAGUCUGAAUGGACUCCUUCUCACCCUCAAUUGUAAAUAAAGUAUUAGAUGAGUGCAACAUAAUAUAUAUUUUCAGUAGACUGCCUACCUAGCUACCUACCGUGUGUGCAUACAUGUAUGCAGUAAAUGAAUAUACACACACAAAACCAUAGGUUCUGUAAACGUACACAUCGGCAAACAUUGAUACAUAUAUGAACAUAAUACAGAUAUUCUUAAUAAUAAAAACAUCUAUCAUACCACAUUCUAAACAACAAUAAUUAAAAUAGAGAUUUGUAAGGUCUAAUGUUGGGGUGCCUGGACACGUUUUACAUAAAUGGAAAUAGUGCAUUGUGAAUUAACAGAGUAUUGUUGCUGUUUAUCAGAA